UGGGUGGGAGACAGUCGAGGGGGGAGAGAAGACAAGUUCGUCCAUCACGAUCGUCGGCCAGUCUCGAACUUCGACCUCCGAAGAGGGAAAUUCGCUUAUCGCGGAGGGCUCUUGCUCUUCGUACACGGCCAGACGGAUUCGUGAUUCUGGGGCGGCUCUCCGUAAUGCAACCGAAUUCAUCGAGAGAAAGGAAUAAACUCUCCACAACGCAUAAUAUCGAGGUCUCUACAAUGAUGAACGAAGGAGAGGACCAGGAAGGAGGAGGAAUGGUUAUCAUUUGGAAUGAAUUGGAUCAAGUCAGAAGAAUGGAAUAGAGAAGAGAGAAAGAGAAAGAGAAAAAGAGAGAGAGAGAGAGAGAGAGAGAGAGAGAGAGAGAAAGAAAGAUAGAUAGAAAUAAAGAAAAAAAGGAAAGAGAAGGAGGAGAGAGAGAGAGAGAGAGAGAGAGAAAUAAAGAAAAAAAGAAAGAGAUAGAGGUAGAGAAAGAGACAGACAUCUCUCCGACGAGAGCGUACAUCGUUAAUGGAAAUAGACGUUAUCAGCUCUAUACUUGAUGACACUAACCCGUAGAUCCGAACUUGUGGGCUUUUUUAUAUGCAUACCGCAAGCUCCUAUCUACCGGUACAUGUAGUCAGGCCGGCGUUAAAAGCUCUCGGACGGAGAUCCUCUUCCUCCUCCCGACCCGCAACCCCCACUCUCUCUCUCUGUGACCUCCCAAAUAAUACUUACAGCACUUCCGGUUUAAGAGACGCCUAACUCUUCUUGUCAAGUUAUUUCCUCGAAAGAGAGAGAGAAAGACAGAGAGAAAGAGAGAAGAAAAAAGAGAAAAAGAAAGAGAGAGAGAGAAGAAGAGAGAGAAGAAGAGAGAGAAGGAGAGAGAGAGAGAGAGAGAAUAGGAGUAGGAGGAAGAGAGAAAAGGAAAGAAAAGAAAGGAGGGAAAUGAAAGCGGAUCGUACUCCCAUUUUUGUUUUUUUGUUUUCUUUUUUUUUUUGUUUUGUUUUGUUUUUAGUGCCUACCGGAUACAUUCGAUAUGCACGCACACAGAGAGAUAUACAUACACACUGUAAUUAUGUGUAUACAUACACAUAUACAUAUACACGUAGAUACAUGCACGCAAUUUCGUAAUGUUAAAAAGUUAAAUUUAAGAAGGUAUCGAAUCAAGUGUAAAAAAUAAAAAAAGAAAGGGAUAAAAGAGAAAUUAAAAGAAGAAAAAGAAAAAA